rnacentral:rRNA from 1 species
UACGUAGGGUGCAAGCGUUAAUCGGAAUUACUGGGCGUAAAGCGUGCGCAGGCGGUUUUGUAAGUCUGUCGUGAAAGCCCCGGGCUCAACCUGGGAAUUGCGAUGGAGACUGCAAGGCUUGAAUCUGGCAGAGGGGGGUAGAAUUCCACGUGUAGCAGUGAAAUGCGUAGAGAUGUGGAGGAAUACCGAUGGCGAAGGCAGCCUCCUGGGCCAACACUGACGCUCAUGCACGAAAGCGUGGGGAGCAAACAGG